GAUGAACGCUGGCGGCGUGCCUAAUACAUGCAAGUCGAGCGAACGGACGAGAAGCUUGCUUCUCUGAUGUUAGCGGCGGACGGGUGAGUAACACGUGGAUAACCUACCUAUAAGACUGGGAUAACUUCGGGAAACCGUAGCUAAUACCGGAUAAUAUUUUGAACCGCAUGGUUCAAAAGUGAAAGACGGUCUUGCUGUCACUUAUAGAUGGAUCCGCGCUGCAUUAGCUAGUUGGUAAGGUAACGGCUUACCAAGGCAACGAUGCAUAGCCGACCUGAGAGGGUGACCGGCCACACGGGAACUGAGACACGGUCAAGACUCCUACGGGAGGCAGCAGUAGGGAAUCUUCCGCAAUGGGCGAAAGCCUGACGGAGCAACGCCGCGUGAGUGAUGAAGGUCUUCGGAUCGUAAAACUCUGUUAUUAGGGAAGAACAUAUGUGUAAGUAACUGUGCACAUCUUGACGGUACCUAAUCAGAAAGCCACGGCUAACUACGUG
rnacentral:rRNA from 1 species